ACCCACCACUCUGAAUGUAGUGCACACUUAAGAAUUUAUACGGAUCAGCGUUGAGGCUGGUACGUGUUCUUUUAUAACUUGUGACGUAGCGAGCGUUUGAGAUAUCUAUCUAAACGUGUCGUUGAGGCUAAGGCGGGGACUUCGAGUCCCUAAAUAAUUGAGUCGUAUGUUCGCGUUGGUGGCUUUGUACCCCACACAACACGUACAUGUAGCUCCGAGGCAACUUGGGGUUAUAUGGUCAAGCGAAUAAGCGCACACGGUGGAUGCCUAGGCGGUCAGAGGCGAUGAAGGACGUGGUAGCCUGCGAAAAGUGUCGGGGAGCUGGCAACAAGCUUUGAUCCGGCAAUAUCCGAAUGGGGAAACCCACUGCUUCGGCAGUAUCCUGCAGUGAAUUCAUAGCUGCUGGAAGCGAACCCGGUGAACUGAAAUAUCUAAGUAACCGGAGGAAAAGAAAUCAACCGAGAUUCCCUAAGUAGUGACGAGCGAACGGGGAACAGCCCUUAAGCUGGAAUGGCUUUAGAAAAACAAUCUGGAAAGAUUGGCCAUAGAAGGUGAUAGCCCUGUAUUUAAAAGGGCCACUCCAGUGAAGACGAGUAGGGCGGGGCACGUGAAACCCUGUCUGAAUAUGGGGGGACCAUCCUCCAAGGCUAAAUACUCCUGACCGACCGAUAGUGAACCAGUACC
rnacentral:sRNA from 1 species